rnacentral:rRNA from 1 species
UUAAGUUAUUAAGGGCGCACGGUGGAUGCCUUGGCACUAGAAGCCGAUGAAGGACGUUACUAACGACGAUAUGCUUUGGGGAGCUGUAAGUAAGCUUUGAUCCAGAGAUUUCCGAAUGGGGAAACCCAGCAUGAGUUAUGUCAUGUUAUCGAUAUGUGAAUACAUAGCAUAUCAGAAGGCACACCCGGAGAACUGAAACAUCUUAGUACCCGGAGGAAGAGAAAGAAAAUUCGAUUCCCUUAGUAGCGGCGAGCGAAACGGGAAGAGCCCAAACCAACAAGCUUGCUUGUUGGGGUUGUAGGACACUCUAUACGGAGUUACAAAGGACGACAUUAGACGAAUCAUCUGGAAAGAUGAAUCAAAGAAGGUAAUAAUCCUGUAGUCGAAAAUGUUGUCUCUCUUGAGUGGAUCCUGAGUACGACGGAGCACGUGAAAUUCCGUCGGAAUCUGGGAGGACCAUCUCCUAAGGCUAAAUACUCUCUAGUGACCGAUAGUGAACCAGUACCGUGAGGGAAAGGUGAAAAGCACCCCGGAAGGGGAGUGAAAUAGAACCUGAAACCGUGUGCUUACAAGUAGUCAGAGCCCGUUAAUGGGUGAUGGCGUGCCUUUUGUAGAAUGAACCGGCGAGUUACGAUUUGAUGCAAGGUUAAGCAGUAAAUGUGGAGCCGUAGCGAAAGCGAGUCUGAAUAGGGCGUUUAGUAUUUGGUCGUAGACCCGAAACCAGGUGAUCUACCCUUGGUCAGGUUGAAGUUCAGGUAACACUGAAUGGAGGACCGAACCGACUUACGUUGAAAAGUGAGCGGAUGAACUGAGGGUAGCGGAGAAAUUUCAAUCGAACCUGGAGAUAGCUGGUUCUCUCCGAAAUAGCUUUAGGGCUAGCCUCAAGUGAUGAUUAUUGGAGGUAGAGCACUGUUUGGACGAGGGGCCCCUCUCGGGUUACCGAAUUCAGACAAACUCCGAAUGCCAAUUAAUUUAACUUGGGAGUCAGAACAUGGGUGAUAAGGUCCGUGUUCGAAAGGGAAACAGCCCAGACCACCAGCUAAGGUCCCAAAAUAUAUGUUAAGUGGAAAAGGAUGUGGCGUUGCCCAGACAACUAGGAUGUUGGCUUAGAAGCAGCCAUCAUUUAAAGAGUGCGUAAUAGCUCACUAGUCGAGUGACACUGCGCCGAAAAUGUACCGGGGCUAAACAUAUUACCGAAGCUGUGGAUUGUCCUUGGACAAUGGUAGGAGAGGGUUCUAAGGGCGUUGAAGCAUGAUCGUAAGGACAUGUGGAGCGCUUAGAAGUGAGAAUGCCGGUGUGAGUAGCGAAAGACGGGUGAGAAUCCCGUCCACCGAUUGACUAAGGUUUCCAGAGGAAGGCUCGUCCGCUCUGGGUUAGUCGGGUCCUAAGCUGAGGCCGACAGGCGUAGGCGAUGGAUAACAGGUUGAUAUUCCUGUACCACCUAUAAUCGUUUUAAUCGAUGGGGGGACGCAGUAGGAUAGGCGAAGCGUGCGAUUGGAUUGCACGUCUAAGCAGUAAGGCUGAGUAUUAGGCAAAUCCGGUACUCGUUAAGGCUGAGCUGUGAUGGGGAGAAGACAUUGUGUCUUCGAGUCGUUGAUUUCACACUGCCGAGAAAAGCCUCUAGAUAGAAAAUAGGUGCCCGUACCGCAAACCGACACAGGUAGUCAAGAUGAGAAUUCUAAGGUGAGCGAGCGAACUCUCGUUAAGGAACUCGGCAAAAUGACCCCGUAACUUCGGGAGAAGGGGUGCUCUUUAGGGUUAACGCCCAGAAGAGCCGCAGUGAAUAGGCCCAAGCGACUGUUUAUCAAAAACACAGGUCUCUGCUAAACCGUAAGGUGAUGUAUAGGGGCUGACGCCUGCCCGGUGCUGGAAGGUUAAGAGGAGUGGUUAGCUUCUGCGAAGCUACGAAUCGAAGCCCCAGUAAACGGCGGCCGUAACUAUAACGGUCCUAAGGUAGCGAAAUUCCUUGUCGGGUAAGUUCCGACCCGCACGAAAGGCGUAACGAUUUGGGCACUGUCUCAACGAGAGACUCGGUGAAAUCAUAGUACCUGUGAAGAUGCAGGUUACCCGCGACAGGACGGAAAGACCCCGUGGAGCUUUACUGUAGCCUGAUAUUGAAAUUCGGCACAGCUUGUACAGGAUAGGUAGGAGCCUUUGAAACGUGAGCGCUAGCUUACGUGGAGGCGCUGGUGGGAUACUACCCUAGCUGUGUUGGCUUUCUAACCCGCACCACUUAUCGUGGUGGGAGACAGUGUCAGGCGGGCAGUUUGACUGGGGCGGUCGCCUCCUAAAAGGUAACGGAGGCGCUCAAAGGUUCCCUCAGAAUGGUUGGAAAUCAUUCAUAGAGUGUAAAGGCAUAAGGGAGCUUGACUGCGAGACCUACAAGUCGAGCAGGGUCGAAAGACGGACUUAGUGAUCCGGUGGUUCCGCAUGGAAGGGCCAUCGCUCAACGGAUAAAAGCUACCCCGGGGAUAACAGGCUUAUCUCCCCCAAGAGUUCACAUCGACGGGGAGGUUUGGCACCUCGAUGUCGGCUCAUCGCAUCCUGGGGCUGUAGUCGGUCCCAAGGGUUGGGCUGUUCGCCCAUUAAAGCGGUACGCGAGCUGGGUUCAGAACGUCGUGAGACAGUUCGGUCCCUAUCCGUCGUGGGCGUAGGAAAUUUGAGAGGAGCUGUCCUUAGUACGAGAGGACCGGGAUGGACAUACCUCUGGUGUACCAGUUGUCGUGCCAACGGCAUAGCUGGGUAGCUAUGUGUGGACGGGAUAAGUGCUGAAAGCAUCUAAGCAUGAAGCCCCCCUCAAGAUGAGAUUUCCCAACUUCGGUUAUAAGAUCCCUCAAAGAUGAUGAGGUUAAUAGGUUCGAGGUGGAAGCAUGGUGACAUGUGGAGCUGACGAAUACUAAUCGAUCGAAGACUUAAUCAA